UUAUUUAUUGCUUACCUUUAAAAUAACAAGAAGUUUUAUGAGUGGUGGCUGGCUUUUCUCCAUGCGAGGUGGUACUAUGGAAAAUUGAAAAAAUCUGCAGAAAGUUUUUCUCAGUCAAUGAGUGUACUUCAAGCUCUGUCACUAAUGAUUAUGUUUGGUACAUUAGUGGCACUCUUGUCCAAUAAGAA
rnacentral:sRNA from 1 species